AUAUACAGUAUGAAUUUGCGCAUUGUAAGGAAAGCUACUGCUUACAAUCAAUGCAUCUACCAUAUGUGACAACUCUAUUGCCGUAGAAAGCUUACCACUACCUGAAAAACCUAUAAUAUAUAUAAACAGCCCUGUUAUCUGCUUUUGAAUACUUACCAUAUUACUUAAUACCGAGAUCCGCACCUAAUAAUAACACAAAACUUCUAAAACAUUAGAUAAAAAAUUACUCUUAGUAGUUAAAAUAUUAUGCAACACAAAUACAAAAAUAAAAACCAUACUGUGACUACUCCCAUAGCUCAUAACUUCAACAAUUAUAGUGUUUUUUACGCU